UGAAUACGAGACGCUAAGGCGUCGAAGUAGUGUAUGUCAUACUUCCAAGAAAAGCUUGCACUGUCAUAGAUAAAAAACGCCUGUACCAUAACCGACACAGGUGGGUAGGUAGAGUAUACUAAGGGGCGCGAGAUAACUCUCUCUAAGGAACUCGGCAAAAUAACUCCGUAACUUCGGGAGAAGGAGUGCCUUAUUCGUAAGGUUGCAAUAACAAGAUCCAAGCAACUGUUUAUCAAAAACACAGGUCUCCGCUAAGUCGUAAGACGAUGUAUGGGGGCUGACGCCUGCCCAGUGCCAGAAGGUUAAAGAAGUUGGUUAGCAAUUGCGAAGCUGAUAACUGAAGCCCUGGUGAACGGCGGCCGUAACAAUAACGGUCCUAAGGUAGCGAAAUUCCUUGUCGGGUAAGUUCCGACCCGCACGAAAGGCGUAAUGAUUUGGAUACUGUCUCGGAGAGGGGCUCGGUGAAAUAGACUUGUCUGUGAAGAUGCGGACUACCUGCACCAGGACAGAAAGACCCUAUGAAGCUUUACUGUAACUUGAAAUUGAAAUUGGACUUUAUUCGCGCAGUAUAGGUGGGAGGCGUUGAUUAUAAUCUUGUGGGAUUAUUGGAGCCAUCAGUGAGAUACCACUCUUGUAAUGUUAGAUUUCUAACUUUGAAUCAUUAUCUGGUCAAAGAACAGUUUCAGGCGGGCAGUUUGACUGGGGCGGUCGCCUCCUAAACGGUAACGGAGGCGUACAAAGGUUUCCUCUGAACGGUUAGAAAUCGUAUCUAGAGUGUAAAGGCAUAAGGAAGCUUGACUGUGAGACCUACAAGUCGAGCAGGGACGAAAGUCGGUCUUAGUGAUCUGACGGUACUGAGUGGAAAGGCCGUCACUCAACGGAUAAAAGUUACUCUAGGAUAACAGGCUGAUCUCCCCCAAGAGUCCACAUCGACGGGGAGGUUUGGCACCUCGAUGUCGGCUCAUCGCAUCCUGGGGCGGUAGUACGUCCCAAGGGUUGGGCUGUUCGCCCAUGAAAGCGGUACGCGAGCUGGGUUCAGAACGUCGUGAGACAGUUCGGUCCAUAUCCGGUGUAGGCGUUAGAAUAUUGAGAGGAGCCUUCUUUAGUACGAGAGGACCGAGAAGGACAUACCUCUGGUGUACCAGUUAUCGUGCCAACGGUAAACGCUGGGUAGCUAUGUAUGGAGUGGAUAACCGCUGAAAGCAUCUAAGUGGGAAGCCCACCUCAAGAUAAG
rnacentral:rRNA from 1 species